GAUGAAGAACGCAGCGAAAUGCGAUAAGUAAUGUGAAUUGCAGAAUUCAGUGAAUCAUCGAAUCUUUGAACGCACAUUGCGCCCGCCAGAAUACUGGCGGGCAUGCCUGUCCGAGCGUCAUUUCAACCCUCGAACCCCUCCGGGGGGUCGGCGUUGGGGAUCGGGAACCCCUAAGACGGGAUCCCGGCCCCGAAAUACAGUGGCGGUCUCGCCGCAGCCUCUCCUGCGCAGUAGUUUGCACAACUCGCACCGGGAGCGCGGCGCGUCCACGUCCGUAAAACACCCAACUUCUGAAAUGUUGACCUCGGAUCAGGUAGGAAUACCCGCUGAACUUAAGCAUAUCAAUAAGCGGAGGA
rnacentral:misc_RNA from 1 species